rnacentral:lncRNA from 1 species
UAACACUAGAGACUAAGACUUUUUAAAAGAAUACAAAUAUAAUAAUGUUGCAUCUCUCUUUCUCAUUAGUUGAUUGGAAACUAAUCACCUAGUUGGCCCUUGAGGUGCUAGCCUCUCUAGCUAUACUUAUACAAACAUAUUGCAAUUCGCCUAUCUCGGUGAUAUCUUUUGGAAUAUAUCCCACCAAGGCUAGAUAUAGGUUUUAAGAGGAUUAGUUUUGCCAUUAAAAAAGAUUUAGUGACACAAUUUUGCACUUGUUUGUCUUUCAUUCAAAUUUAAUUAUCUUAAAUAUAUAUAUACAAAUAUUGAAUGAAGCUAAAAAAAAGGACACAUGUGUAAACUAAUUUACAAUUAGAUCGUUGUUCUUUGCCCUCUUUAAAUUACUAACACUAGAAAAUACAUUGUCGAAAGAUAUUUUCCAUUAAAUUUGCCCUACCGAAAUAUAUCUUU